rnacentral:rRNA from 1 species
UACGUAGGCAGCAAGCGUUGUUCGGAAUUACUGGGCGUAAAGAGUGUGUAGGCGGUGCUCUAAGUUCGGUGUGAAAUCUCCCGGCUUAACUGGGAGGGUGCGCCGAAAACUGGAGUGCUCGAGCGUGGGAGAGGAAAGCGGAAUUCCUGGUGUAGCGGUGAAAUGCGUAGAUAUCAGGAGGAACACCUGCGGUGUAGACGGCUUUCUGGACCAUUGCUGACGCUGAGGCACGAAAGCGUGGGGAGCAAACAGG